ensembl:lncRNA
CGCGCAUUUAAUUUGCGCUUUGUUUUGAGGUUGUUUUGAAAAAAUAAUAAUACUAAUAUCAUUCAAAAACAAGAGUGUCAGUAGUUUAUAUUACUGUAGUGUUAUUAUCUGGAAUAUGAAUGUGUUUCUUAAACACGUCAUUACGUAAACACUAACGUCAGUCAGAGAUCGGGCGGCGCGCGAGGUUCAUUUCUUCGGAGAGCGCGCGGGAACGUGAUGAUCUGUUUACCGUUAUGAGGAGAAUUAACGGUGACUUUUGGAGAAAAGAUGCGGCUUUACCGAAGCGCUGUGUCUGACACACGGAGCGAAUUCCUGAGGAAAGUCAGUCAGUCAGAUCAAGUCAGGAUGAAGCAGUUGCACUCUUAUCCCCUUUGAGAUGAACUCUGAACGAGUCGAGCGACCCCGGAGCCAAUACGUCCAGGAUGGUUUUAACUAGGCCAAAACACAGCAGCGAGGAAGGAGUGUAAUUGGGAAAAGAGCCACAGUGGACGUGCAGGGCCAGAGGGGUGCCAACAUCACAAUGUGUGCAGCAGUAUCCACUGAUGGACCGCUGUUACACAGACCGCUAAUUGGCCCAUACAACACUGAGCGUCUCAUUUCAUUCCUGGAUGAGCUCUGUGGAAGAACUGUGCCAGGAUAGGAAAGGGAUGCGGUGGGCCAGCAUUUAUUAUUGUAUGGGACACUGUGGCAUUCACUACUCCUUUACUGUCACAGAGUGGACUGCAUGGAGUCACUUU